rnacentral:rRNA from 1 species
CUCGUUUCUUUGGUCCGGACUCUCUUCUUCCUCCGACCAUAAUGUUUAUCUACCUGUUUCGUUGCUUCGGCAGGCGGUUCCUCUGGAGCCUUCGCCCUACGGGUGCCUGCCGGAGUAUCUAAAACUCUUGUUAAUUACUGUUCUGUCUGAGUAAACUUUUAAUAAGUUAAAACUUUCAACAACGGAUCUCUUGGUUCUGGCAUCGAUGAAGAACGCAGCGAAAUGCGAUAAGUAAUGUGAAUUGCAGAAUUCAGUGAAUCAUCGAAUCUUUGAACGCACAUUGCGCCCAUUAGUAUUCUAGUGGGCAUGCCUGUUCGAGCGUCAUUUCAACCCUCAAGCGCUGCUUGGUGUUGGGGCGUCUGCAGCUCCGGCUGCAGGCCCUGAAAAUCAGUGGCGGGCUCGCUAUAACUCCGAGCGUAGUAAUAUAUCCUCGCUUUGGAAGUGUAGCGGUUCCCGGCCGUUAAACCCCCCAAUUCUGAAUGUUGACCUUCGAUACGAGAUCCGUGAUUAUCAUUUCCUUUUAUCCA